rnacentral:rRNA from 1 species
AUUGAACGCUGGCGGCAUGCUUUACACAUGCAAGUCGAACGGUAACAGGCCGCAAGGUGCUGACGAGUGGCGAACGGGUGGGUAAUGCAUCGGAACGUGCCCAGUCGUGGGGGAUAACUGCUCGAAAGAGCAGCUAAUAUCGCAUACGAUCUAUGGAUGAAAGCGGGGGACCGUAAGGCCUCGCGCGAUUGGAGCGGCCGAUGUCAGAUUAGGUAGUUGGUGGGGUAAAGGCUCACCAAGCCAACGAUCUGUAGCUGGUCUGAGAGGACGACCAGCCACACUGGGACUGGGACACGGCCCAGACUCCUACGGGAGGCAGCAGUGGGGAAUUUUGGACAAUGGGGGCAACCCUGAUCCAGCAAUGCCGCGUGCAGGAGGAAGGCCUUCGGGUUGUAAACUGCUUUUGUACGGAACGAAACGGUCUGGGUUAAUACCCUGGGCUAAUGACGGUACCGUAAGAAUAAGCACCGGCUAACUACGUGCCAGCAGCAGCCGCAGUAA